CGGCCGCAAGGUUAAAACUCAAAUGAAUUGACGGGGGCCCGCACAAGCGGUGGAGCAUGUGGUUUAAUUCGAUGCAACGCGAAGAACCUUACCUACUCUUGACAUCCAGAGAAGACUGUAGAGAUACGGUUGUGCCUUCGGGAGCUCUGAGACAGGUGCUGCAUGGCUGUCGUCAGCUCGUGUUGUGAAAUGUUGGGUUAAGUCCCGCAACGAGCGCAACCCUUAUCCUUUGUUGCCAGCACGUAAUGGUGGGAACUCAAAGGAGACUGCCGGUGAUAAACCGGAGGAAGGUGGGGAUGACGUCAAGUCAUCAUGGCCCUUACGAGUAGGGCUACACACGUGCUACAAUGGCGCAUACAAAGAGAAGCGAGCCUGCGAGGGUGAGCGGACCUCAUAAAGUGCGUCGUAGUCCGGAUUGGAGUCUGCAACUCGACUCCAUGAAGUCGGAAUCGCUAGUAAUCGUAGAUCAGAAUGCUACGGUGAAUACGUUCCCGGGCCUUGUACACACCGCCCGUCACACCAUGGGAGUGGGUUGCAAAAGAAGUAGGUAGCUUAACCUUAGGG
rnacentral:rRNA from 1 species